GUCAGGAUAGCCGAGCGGUCUAAGGCACCAGACNCAAGGUUCAGUACCUUCCACACGCUGGUCUCCGGAUAGAGAUGUGGGUUUGAAUCCCACUUCUGACA
rnacentral:tRNA from 1 species